AUUGAACGCUGGCGGCAGGCCUAACACAUGCAAGUCGAGCGGUAGAGAGAAGCUUGCUUCUCUUGAGAGCGGCGGACGGGUGAGUAAUGCCUAGGAAUCUGCCUGGUAGUGGGGGAUAACGUUCGGAAACGGACGCUAAUACCGCACACGUCCUACGGGAGAAAGCAGGGGACCUUCGGGCCUUGCGCUAUCAGAUGAGCCUAGGUCGGAUUAGCUAGUUGGUGGGGUAAUGGCUCACCAAGGCGACGAUCCGUAACUGGUCUGAGAGGAUGAUCAGUCACACUGGAACUGAGACACGGUCCAGACUCCUACGGGAGGCAGCAGUGGGGAAUAAUGGACAAUGGGCGAAAGCCUGAUCCAGCCAUGCCGCGUGUGUGAAGAAGGUCUUCGGAUUGUAAAGCACUUUAAGUUGGGAGGAAGGGCAGUAAAUUAAUACUUUGCUGUUUUGACGUUACCGACAGAAUAAGCACCGGCUAACUCUGUGCCAGCCGCCGCGGUAA
rnacentral:rRNA from 1 species